GGUCAACCCGUGAAACACGUAAAUCUUCAAUAACCCUUUCUUUUUUGGCUUUAAAUUCACUUCAGUUUUUUUCAUUUUUCCUUCUCAUUCAAUAUCCUUCUAUUGGAGUCUUCUUCUUCUUCGUUAGAGACAUUAAUCACCAGGUAACUUUAUAGACAACAAAAAUGGCCGAUUCACGUGAAGAAAAUGUGUACAUGGCCAAGCUGGCUGAACAGGCUGAGAGGUAUGAGGAAAUGGUUGAGUUUAUGGAGAAGGUUGCAAAGGUAGAUGUUGAAGAGCUGACUGUGGAAGAAAGGAAUCUUCUUUCUGUGGCUUACAAGAAUGUCAUUGGUGCAAGAAGGGCUUCGUGGAGGAUAAUAUCUUCAAUUGAGCAGAAAGAGGAGACCCGUGGAAAUGAGGACCAUGUUAGCAGCAUUAAAGAAUAUAGAGCCAAAAUUGAGGCUGAGCUCAGCAAGAUAUGUGAUGGGAUUUUGAGCCUUCUCGAAUCCCAUUUAGUACCAUCAGCCUCAACAGCCGAGUCCAAAGUGUUUUACUUGAAGAUGAAAGGUGAUUACCAUAGGUACUUGGCUGAGUUUAAGACGGGGGCAGAGAGAAAAGAAGCUGCUGAGAACACUUUAUUAGCCUACAAGUCUGCUCAGGAUAUUGCAUUGGCUGAACUGGCUCCUACUCACCCAAUCAGGCUGGGACUUGCCCUUAACUUUUCGGUGUUCUAUUAUGAAAUUCUAAACUCACCUGAUCGUGCUUGUAACCUUGCAAAACAGGUGCAGUUUUCUCCCAUUCUCACUGUCCGUCCUAUCUGCGAGUGGCCUUUGAUGAUGCCAUCGCAGAGCUGGAUACAUUGGGUGAGGAAUCUUACAAGGACAGUACAUUGAUUAUGCAGCUUCUCCGAGACAAUCUCACACUUUGGACUUCUGAUACCACGGAUGAUGCCGGGGAUGAGAUCAGGGAAGCUUCAAAACAAGAGUCGGGUGAUGGACAGCAGUGACAACUUAGUAGCCUAGUCUUGUCCUCCUUAUUUUGUGAUUUUCGACAACUCUUCGUAUUUACUGCUGCAGUUGUUUGAUAUUAAAACAGGUUUUAGUCUGAUAAAAGAAACAUGUUUAGUACAAUUUGUUGUGAUGCUAUUUCCAUCGCCAUUUAAUAAUUAGAGUUGGAAUACAGCUAUUUCUUGUAUACUGAUGUGUUGGCUUGUGUCGAUGAGCUUUGUAUUUUUGAAUAAUUCAGUAUUUAACAAAUCAAUUAUCUUUUAGCCUCCUUUUAUCAUA